CGGGACGGGUGAGUAAUGUCUGGGAAACGGCCUGAUGGAGGGGGAUAACUACUGGAAACGGUAGCUAAUACCGCAUAAUGUCUACGGACCAAAGCGGGGGACCUCCGGGCCUCGCGCCAUCAGAUGAACCCAUAUGGGAUUAGCUAGUAGGUGGGGUAACGGCUCACCUAGGCGACGAUCCCUAGCUGGUCUGAGAGGAUGACCAGCCACACUGGAACUGAGACACGGUCCAG
rnacentral:rRNA from 1 species